GGAUGUGAGGGUGAUCUGGCUGCAACAUCUAUCACCCCACUGAUCGCCAGGGUUAAUUCUGCUGAUCUGGCUGGCUAGGCGGGAGUGCCCUUCCUCCCUCACCGCUCCAUGUGCGUCCCUCCCGAAGCUGCGCACUUGGUCGAAGAGGAUGACCAUCCCCGCUAGAGGAGCCCGGUCUUCAGUCAAGGGCAUAUGAGUAGCUGCACUCCCUUGCUAGACCUCCAAACAAGCUCUCAGANNNNNNNN
ensembl:misc_RNA 7SK 7SK RNA